AGAAGAAAAAGAGGAAGACAAACCUGCUGCUGCUGCUGCUGAAAUUGAAGAAAAGGCCGAAACGUCUGAGAAAGUCGAGGUUGAAGCACCCUCCCCUGUUGAAGUCAAAGAAGAAGAGAAAACUCCACCACCAACCGAGGCACCAGCUGUUGAGACGGUGGUGGUGGAAACACAGGUGGUUGAGACAGUGACAACUGUCGACGAUGAUGGCGCCAAGACCGUGGAGGCUAUUGAGGAAUCUGUAGUAGCAGUCUCUGCCCCUCCACCAUCGGAGAAACAGGAGGGGGAGGCUUCUGGUUCCAAAGAAGUAGAGGUAGCUCCUUUACCAGAGGAGCCAAAAGAAGCUGAAGUUCCUCCACCUCCACCCGAAGAGGUGUCUAUAUGGGGAAUUCCGCUUCUUGCUGACGAAAGGAGCGAUGUGAUCCUGUUGAAAUUCUUGAGGGCAAGGGAUUUCAAAGUAAAAGAUGCAUUUAUUAUGAUCAAG
rnacentral:lncRNA from 1 species